GGAUUCUUUCGUAGGGCCUAGGUGUGGGGGACAUUCCACGUUUUCCGCGCCGUAGCUAACGCAUUAAGUGCCCCGCCUGGGGAGUACGGCCGCAAGGCUAAAACUCAAAGGAAUUGACGGGGGCCCGCACAAGCGGCGGAGCAUGCGGAUUAAUUCGAUGCAACGCGAAGAACCUUACCAAGGCUUGACAUGAACCGGAAAGACCUGGAAACAGGUGCCCCGCUUGCGGUCGGUUUACAGGUGGUGCAUGGUUGUCGUCAGCUCGUGUCGUGAGAUGUUGGGUUAAGUCCCGCAACGAGCGCAACCCUCGUUCUAUGUUGCCAGCACGUUAUGGUGGGGACUCAUAGGAGACUGCCGGGGUCAACUCGGAGGAAGGUGAGGACGACGUCAAAUCAUCAUGCCCCUUAUGUCUUGGGCUUCACGCAUGCUACAAUGGCCGGUACAAUGGGUUGCGAUACUGUGAGGUGGAGCUAAUCCCAAAAAGCCGGUCUCAGUUCGGAUUGGGGUCUGCAACUCGACCCCAUGAAGUCGGAGUCGCUAGUAAUCGCAGAUCAGCAACGCUGCGGUGAAUACGUUCCCGGGCCUUGUACACACCGCCCGUCAAGUCACGAAAGUUGGUAACACCCGAAGCCCAUGGCCCAACCCGCAAGGGAGGGAGUGGUCGAAGGUGGGACUGGCGAUUGGGACUAAGUCGUAAAAAGGGUAACCA
rnacentral:rRNA from 1 species